GAUGCCAGGGUCAAAAGGCCUAAACCCACAUGAGCUUGCUCAUAAGUGGGAUUAAGGCCUUGGGACCCGCCCUAAUAUGAGCAUAAAAGUGGGAUGCAUAUCCCACGAUAUGCGAAUAUUGGGUAGGAUUGUGGGAGUGCGCAGCACGGAACAAUCCGCAGGCAUC
rnacentral:sRNA from 1 species